UGGGGAAUAUUGGACAAUGGGCGCAAGCCUGAUCCAGCCAUGCCGCGUGAGUGAUGACGGCCUUAGGGUUGUAAAGCUCUUUCGCUCGGGACGAUAAUGACGGUACCGAGAUAAGAAGCCCCGGCUAACUUCGUGCCAGCAGCCGCGGUAAUACGAAGGGGGCUAGCGUUGUUCGGAAUUACUGGGCGUAAAGCGCGUGUAGGCGGGUCUUUAAGUCAGGGGUGAAAUGCCAAGGCUCAACCUUGGAACUGCCUUUGAUACUGGAGAUCUUGAGUCCGGGAGAGGUGAGUGGAAUUGCGAGUGUAGAGGUGAAAUUCGUAGAUAUUCGCAAGAACACCAGUGGCGAAGGCGGCUCACUGGCCCGGAACUGACGCUGAGACGCGAAAGCGUGGGGAGCAAACAGGAUUAGAUACCCUGGUAGUCCACGCUGUAAACGAUGGAUGCUAGCCGUUGGGGAGCUUGCUCUUCAGUGGCGCAGCUAACGCUUUAAGCA
rnacentral:rRNA from 1 species